CAGAAGUAAGGGAGAGACAAACCUUUUCAGACUCCACUGGUCCCUAUGACUACCAUCCCCAUCCCCAACUCUGCGACAUCGUUCAAUUAGCCGCGCUGCUUCGCAGUCUUUAGCAACAGCGUGGAGGAGAAGACAACUGGAGCUGGAUGAGUCAGCAUGACCGUUGGAGGAGAAAGUGAUGGAAACUAAACAGAGUGGCCAGCUCACCAGAUUGAGGACACACUUACGUCAUCUGAGGGGGCGUUAUUUUAAUUGCUUGUCCAGGCACACGGAAUACAAAAAAUACCAAACAGAGAGACCUCAAAGAGGAGGAGUGUGCUGCCUGCCUUAAGGCCUCACCUGAAGCACUGAAACUUAAAGUGCAAGAAGAAUUUACAAAAUAACACUGCACCUGUUUUUUCCAUUUGCACUUGUUGUACUUAUUGUGCAUGUGUUGAGGAUACAUGUGUUGAUAUUAUAAGUUCAGAACACUAUACAGCCACCUAUAUAAGAGCAUACCUGUCAUGUAUGAGUGAGUGGGAGCUCUUAUUGUGAAAGGACUGCUAUGGUUACUCAUGAAUAGCAUGAUGGAUGUUCAUAAAGUAGGGAUAGACCGAUUAUUGGCCGGGCUGAUUAUCAUUUUGACGCAUAUCAGCAUCGGCCGUUUUUUUUAAUCCGACAGCCAAUAAGAGAUCGAUUUAAAACUGGGUUAUUUUGGCUCUGAUGCAGCCACGCCUCUCUGUCUGCAGUCACAACUCUGUCUCCAGCAUUGUCCUACCCACAGCACCAUCUGAUUGGUUACAUGCAGAGCCACAGCAACAGCCAAUCAGCAGUGAAAGCUGUGCAUGCACAGUGCUCACACACACUGAACAACUCUGCUUUUUGCACCUCAAUCUGGUGCUGCUCAAUUGGGACUACUAAUUGAUUUGAGACUCACAUUUCUGUGCAAAUUUUAUUUAACUUUGUUUUAUUUACUUUAUAAAACUUCAGGAAGCUAUUUACUUAUUAUUUAAAAUUUCGGUUAACUUUCUAAGAGAUGCUGCUGACCCUGGGAACUCCCUGCACUUUUUUUUUUUUUUUUUACUUAAAACAAAGAUAAGUGAAAGAUAAAAUAACAUUUCAGUUAUAUUGAAAUUUUGGAGAACUUUAUUUACUGUAGAAAACUUUAGGGAGCUAUUUGUUUGUUUAAGUUUUCAUUUAACUUUAUAAGACAUGCUGCUGAGCCUGGGAGCUCCCUGCACUUUUUGUUAGAAUUUUAAAACAAAGAUGUCUAUUUUCUAAGAUAAAAAAAACAACCUUUAACAUGUUGCAAAUCUGAAAAGCUGUUUAAUAAACAUAUGCUUAAAGGCAUUUAAACAAAGUUAAGUGUUGGAGUUUGUAUUAUUCAAAAUUUUGAUGCCAAUAUUUUCACUUUUACUGCAAAUGAAUAUCGGCUCCAAAUAUCAGUUAUUGGCCUCCUUGACUACU